AACGAACGCUGGCGGCAGGCUUAACACAUGCAAGUCGAACGCCCCGCAAGGGGAGUGGCAGACGGGUGAGUAACGCGUGGGAACAUACCCUUUUCUACGGAAUAGCUCUGGGAAACUGGAAUUAAUACCGUAUACGCCCUACGGGGGAAAGAUUUAUCGGGGAAGGAUUGGCCCGCGUUGGAUUAGCUAGUUGGUGGGGUAAAGGCCUACCAAGGCGACGAUCCAUAGCUGGUCUGAGAGGAUGAUCAGCCACAUUGGGACUGAGACACGGCCCAAACUCCGACGGGAGGCAGCAGGGGGGAAUAUUGGACAAUGGGCGCAAGCCUGAUCCAGCCAUGCCGCGGGAGUGAUGAAGGCCUUAGGGUUGUAAAGCUCUUUCACCGAUGAAGAUAAUGACGGUAGUCGGAGAAGAAGCCCCGGCUAACUUCGU
rnacentral:rRNA from 1 species